rnacentral:rRNA from 1 species
GCGAACGCUGGCGGCAGGCUUAACACAUGCAAGUCGAACGCUCGCAGCAAUGCGGGAGUGGCAGACGGGUGAGUAACGCGUGGGAACAUGCCCUUUGGUUCGGAAUAACUCAGGGAAACUUGAGCUAAUACCGGAUAAGCCCUUUUGGGGAAAGAUUUAUCGCCGAAGGAUUGGCCCGCGUCCGAUUAGCUAGUUGGUGAGGUAAUGGCUCACCAAGGCGACGAUCGGUAGCUGGUCUGAGAGGAUGAUCAGCCACACUGGGACUGAGACACGGCCCAGACUCCUACGGGAGGCAGCAGUGGGGAAUAUUGGACAAUGGGGGCAACCCUGAUCCAGCCAUGCCGCGUGAGUGAUGAAGGCCCUAGGGUUGUAAAGCUCUUUCGACGGGGACGAUAAUGACGGUACCCGUAGAAGAAGCCCCGGCUAACUUCGU